UCCGAUUGUUCAGUCAUUCAAGGCUAUGACAGGAGAGCCAUGCAUUUUCAUAGUUUUUGGUUCCAUCUCGCUUUGGAUCUCCUACCCGACAAUGUGCUGUCCUUGAAAGCGUUCACAGACACAGUUUAUGAACUGACGAAAAUCAAAUCCAUACCAUAUCGUGGCAGUUGUUGGGUGAGUGGAUUUGAUUUCUAUUUGGAACACGGACCCAC
rnacentral:ribozyme from 1 species